GUCCCUGUAGCACAAUGGAUAGCGUGUUGGAUUUAGAAUCAAAAAGUCGUUUGUUCAAAUCCAACCUGGGAUG